AUACUUACCUGGCACAGGAGUGACUUUGAUCAAGAAGGAAUGUGCUCCCAAGAUGAGGCCUCGGCAUUGCACUUGGCUGAGGUUGACCCAUUCCCCCAAAUGUUGUGGGGAACCCGGGUGUAUAAUUUAUGGUAGUGGGGGACUGCGUUCGCGCUAACCCCUA